AUGGUUCAAAUGUGCCAGGCCCAAGUAGGCUAUUAUGGACUGAGAAUACAGCAGCCUGCAAUCCCUCCACUGUCAAGAGCAGGUGGUGUUCACUGCUCUGUAAAGCCAGCCUCAUGCGGUUCCCUCCAUUCUAGUAGCCAGGAGAUCUGGGCCUUCGCCCAAACCCCAUGGCCCAACUCUCAACUUGGAGCGGACAGGCCAGAAUAG